ensembl:lincRNA Gm3764 predicted gene 3764
AUUCAAUCACAGCCUCAAGUUCAAAAGUGAAUUAAAACUCAAAGAAGCCUGGGGACAGGGACAAGAGUACUUCUGUCAUUCAUUCUCUUCCCCUGCUUCCUUGGGGACAAGGGUGGCCUGGAGGAACAAUAGUGUCCCCUGGCCCCUUCUUCCUGCAUUGGGUUAGAAAAGGCAGCAGAAAGCAGUGGGGAUGACAAAGACACACACACACACACACACACACACACACACACACACACACCCCAGGCUUGAGAAGGGAGGAGGAGGAGGCGUCUCUGGCUGGACGGACAGACUGUUAUUUUGGUGGUGGGCAUGGUCCCAGAUAGGGGCAGCGUUCCCCUUUUUCCUGGCUUUUCAGGGAGAGCAGCAAGAGAAAGAAAGAAGCAAACGAAAUUCCUGAAUGGAUAAGAGAUGCUACGUCAGCGGUACUGGAGCCGCAUCCUCCACUCCACGAGAAGAGAAGAGCUAGGAGAGACCAGCGGGCGGUAGCUGCGGCGAGUGGCCUCUCCGUGCGGCACAGAGGCAAGAAGCAGCCAUCCAUCCAGAAGCAGCCUCCGUGUUCCGUUUGUCCGGAUGUCAUCGUAGGUGGCCGGCAUCUCUGGCUUUGGGGCAGACAUCCUGCACUACAUUCCAGAUCUGAUGAGGCAUGGCUGCCCCAGGAUUACUGGGCUCGGACGGGAGCAGUGGUAGGAAGGAUCCUAUAUAAGUCAUGUGAGACAUAGAAUGUUCAGAUCAACUGAAGCUGAAACAAGCCUUUGGCAUCAUAUAUAACCCAGAAAGGGACAAAGCUGAUCCCAGAGGACUCAAGGCUAUGGGUGAUGUCGAAGGUGCGGAAGAAUCAAGUUGGAAAGACCAGCAGGAGACAGACAGAGUAAGGUUCCUUGAAUGCUUGGUUUAUGUGCCUGGCUGGAGGAGACACCCAUGGCCUUGCAGAGGGAGCGUUCUGGUGGGAAAGCAGACACAACCCACCCUAGGCCCGUGGUUUCCCUGCAAGAAGCCCAGUGGCUUUCUGGAGGACACUUUUCCUGGAGGAAGUGACUCAAGCACAAGUUCUUGGUGGCCUCAAUUCACGGUCUCUUCCUGUUGAUCAG